rnacentral:rRNA from 1 species
CAUCGCCUCUUGCAUAACCACAGUAUAAGAGGUCCCGCCUGCCCAGUGACAACUUAGUUCAACGGCCGCGGUAUUUUGACCGUGCAAAGGUAGCGUAAUCACUUGUCUUUUAAAUGAAGACCUGUAUGAAUGGCAUAACGAGGGCUUAACUGUCUCCUUCCCCUGGUCAAUGAAAUUGAUCUCCCCGUGCAGAAGCGGGGAUAAAACCAUAAGACGAGAAGACCCUAUGGAGCUUUAGACACACAGGUGGCCCAUGUCAAAUACCCCCAGCUAAGGGCCUGAACUAAAUGGAGCCUGCCUUGAUGUCUUCGGUUGGGGCGACCAUGGGGAAUACAAAACCCCCACGUGGAAAGGGAGCACACCCCUAAGUUACUUCUUCUCCCGCAAGCCAGAGCAACAGCUCUAACAAGCAGAAAUUCUGACCAAACUGAUCCGGUAAAACCGAUCAACGAACCAAGUUACCCUAGGGAUAACAGCGCAAUCCCCUUUUAGAGCCCAUAUCGACAAGGGGGUUUACGACCUCGAUGUUGGAUCAGGACAUCCUAAUGGUGCAGCCGCUAUUAAGGGUUCGUUUGUUCAACGAUUAAAGUCCUACGUGA